UGUGUCACCUUCUAUGGCACCCGGGUGGCACUUGGGUGGCACCUGUGUCACCUCCUGUGGCACCUGUGUCACCUGGGUGGCACCUGUGGCAUCCCCUGUGUCACCUGUGUCGUGUGUGGCACCUCCUGUGGCAUGUGGGUGGCACCUGUGGCACCUCCUGUGUGACGUGUGUCACCUCCUGUGACACCUGGAUCACCUGAGUGGCACUUGGGUGGCACCUGUGUCACCUCCUGUGGCACCUGAGUGGCACAUGGGUGGCACCUGUGCUGUGUGUGUCACCUCCCUGUCCUUCCAGUGCCACCCCCAAUGUCCCCCCAGUGUCCCCUCAGUGUCCCUGUCCCUGCAGUGUCCCUGUCCUUGUCCCCGCAGUGUCCCCAAUGUCCCCUCAGUGUCACUGUCACUGUCCCCAGUGUCCCCUCAGUGUCCCCAAUGUCCCCUCAGUGUCCCUGUCCCUGUCCCCGCAGUGUCCCCGACUGCCACCUCGUCACUGUGGAUGUCCCCUCAGUGUCCCUGUCCCUGUCCCUGCAGUGUCCCCAAUGUCCCCUCAGUGUCCCCAAUGUCCCCUCAGUGUCACUGUCCCUGCAGUGUCCCUGUCCUUGUCCCCCCAGUGUCCCCAAUGUCCCCUCAGUGUCACUGUCACUGUCCCCAAUGUCCCCUCAGUGUCCCCAAUGUCCCCUCAAUGUCCCUGUCCCUGUCCCCGCAGUGUCCCCAAUGUCCCCUCAGUGUCCCUGUCCCUGUCCCCGCAGUGUCCCCGACUGCCACCUCGUCACCGUGGAUGUCCCCUCAGUGUCCCCAAUGUCCCCUCAGUGUCCCUGUCCUUGUCCCCGCAGUGUCCCCAAUGUCCCCUCAGUGUCCCCAAUGUCCCCUCAAUGUCCCUGUCCCUGUUCCCGCAGUGUCCCCAAUGUCCCCUCAGUGUCACUGUCACUGUCCCUGUCCCCAGUGUCCCCUCAGUGUCCCCAAUGUCCCCUCAAUGUCCCUGUCCCUGUCCCCGCAGUGUCCCCAAUGUCCCUGUCCCUGUCCCCACAGUGUCCCCAAUGUCCCUGUCCCUGCAGUGUCCCCAAUGUCCCCUCAGUGUCCCCAAUGUCCCUGUCAUUGUCCCCGCAGUGUCCCCGACUGCCACCUCGUCACCGUGGAUGUCACCGCUGUCCCCGAGGGUGGCCGCGCCCUCACCGUCACCAGCACCCGCCGCAACCCCGCCGAGCCCGGCCACGUCACGGGCAGCGCCACCCGCCACAGCUUCUGGAGCAGCGUGCUGGGUGUGGCCCUGUCCCCUGUGCCACCC
ensembl:lncRNA